AGCGGGGUGUAGCAAUACGCCGCCGGCGACCGGCGCACGGGUGAGUAACGCGUAUGCAACUUGCCUAUCAGAGGGGGAUAACCCGGCGAAAGUCGGACUAAUACCGCAUGAAGCAGGGAUCCCGCAUGGGAAUAUUUGCUAAAGAUUCAUCGCUGAUAGAUAGGCAUGCGUUCCAUUAGGCAGUUGGCGGGGUAACGGCCCACCAAACCGACGAUGGAUAGGGGUUCUGAGAGGAAGGUCCCCCACACUGGUACUGAGACACGGACCAGACUCCUACGGGAGGCAGCAGUGAGGAAUAUUGGUCAAUGGGCGCGAGCCUGAACCAGCCAAGUCGCGUGAGGGAUGAAGGAUCUAUGGUUCGUAAACCUCUUUUAUAAGGGAAUAAAGUGCGGGACGUGUCCUGUUUUGUAUGUACCUUAUGAAUAAGGAUCGGCUAACUCCGUGUCAGCAGCCGCGGUAAUACGGAGGAUCCGAGCGUUAUCCGGAUUUAUUGGGUUUAAAGGGUGCGUAGGCGGCCUUUUAAGUCAGCGGUGAAAGUCUGUGGCUCAACCAUAGAAUUGCCGUUGAAACUGGGGGGCUUGAGUAUGUUUGAGGCAGGCGGAAUGCGUGGUGUAGCGGUGAAAUGCAUAGAUAUCACGCAGAACCCCGAUUGCGAAGGCAGCCUGCCAAGCCAUGACUGACGCUGAUGCACGAAAGCGUGGGGAUCGAACA
rnacentral:rRNA from 1 species